GGGUUCGAUUCUGGCUCAGAUUGAACUGGCGGGAUGUUACACAUGCGUCAGACAGCACGGACUGAUCUGGUGGCGAGUGGCGAACAGGUGAUGGCUGUAUCGGAACGUGCCCUGUAGCGGGGGAUAACUACUGCCGAAAGCGUAACUAAUACCACCCAUACGCCCUUCGGGGAAAGCAGGGGACCUUCCGGGCCUCGCACUAUUAAACGGCCGAUAUCGGAUUAGCUUUAGUUGUUGUGGUGGGGAGAGUAACGGCUCACCAAGGCAGAGCGAUCUGGCGUAGCUGGUUUGAGGACGUCAUACACUGGGACUGAGACACGGCCCAGACUCCUGCGGGAGGCACAGCAGUGAGAAUUUUGGACAAUGGGAAACCCUGAUCAGCACCAUCCCGUGUGCGAUGAAGGCCUUCAGGUUGUAAAGCACUUUUGGCAGAAGAAACGGCACGGGAUAAUACCCCGCGGCGCCGCGGCUUUGACGGUACCUGCAGAAUAAGCACCGGCUAACUACGUGCCAGCAGCCGCGGUAAUACAUCAGAGACACAGCGUUUAAUCGGAAUUACUGGGCAUAAAGCGUGCGCAGGCGGUUCGGAAAGAAGAUGUGAAAUCCCAGAGCUUAACUUUGGAACUGCAUUUUUAACUACCGGGCUAGAGUGUGUCAGAGGAGGUGGAAUUCCGCGUGUAGCAGUGAAAUGCGUAGAUAUGCGGAGGAACACCGAUGGCGAAGGCAGCCUCGUGGAUAACACUGACAUGUGCGAAAGCGUGAGGCAAACAGUUCGAAUGCCUGGUCCCGCCUAAACGAUGUCAACUAGCUGUUAGGCCUUCGGGCCUUGGUAGCGCAGCUAACGCGUGAAGUUGACCACCUGGGAGUACGGUCGCAAGAUUAAACUCAAAGGAAUUGACGGGGACCCGCCUGGCGGUGGAUGAUGUGGAUUAAUUCGAUGCAACGCGAAAAACCUUACCCUACCCUUGGCAUAUGAAUCCCGAAGGGUUGGGAGUGCUCGCAGAAACCGGAACACAGGUGCUAUGGCUGUCGUCAGCUCGUGUCGUGGUGGGUUAAGUCCCGCAACGAGCGCAACCCUUGUCAUUAGUUGCUACGAAAGGGCACUCUAAUGAGACUGCCGACAAACCGGAGGGGAAGGUGGGGAUGACGUCAAGUCCUCAUGGCCCUUAUGCGGUAAGGGCUUCACACGUCAUACAAUGGUCGAGACAGAGGGUCGCCAACCCGCGAGGGGGAGCCAAUCCCGAAACCCGAUCGUAGUCCGGAUCACCCAGUCUGCAACUCGACUGCGUGAAGUCGGAAUCGCUAGUAAUCGCGGAUCAGCAUGUCGCGGUGAAUACGUUCCCGGGUCUUGUACACGCCGCCCGUCACACCAUGGGAGUGGGUUUUACCAGAAGUAGUUAGCCUAACCGUAAGGAGGGCGAUUACCACGGUAGGAUUCAUGACUGGGGUGAAGUCGUAACAAGGUAG
rnacentral:rRNA from 1 species